UAGGCUUUCUCCACUGUUUUAUAUUCUUCUUUAUUUUUACUCCUCUGACUGGAUAAUUUUGAAUGCCCUGCCUUCAAGCUCAUUGAUUCUUCUGCUUGAUAUACUCUGCAGUUGAAGUUCUUUACAAAAUUCUUCAGUUCAACUAUUGUGUUAUUUAGCUAUUUCUUUUUUGUGACUUGUAUCUCUAUUGUAUUCUCAUUUUGUGUAUUAUUUUUCUUAUUUUUCAGAUUUUGUUUAGCUGUCUGUGUACUCGUGUAGCUUACUGAGCUUCAAGACAACUAAUUUGAAUCACGUGUCAGGCAGUUCAUAAGUCUCCAUUUUUCUCCUGUUUUUCUUUUCUUUCUUUCUUUUUCUUUUUUCCUUUUUUUUUUUUUUUUUUUUUUCUUGAGAUGGUAUCUGACUAUGUUGCCUAGGCUGGCCCUGAAUUCCUGGGCUCAAAGGAUCCUCCUUCCUCAGCCUGCCAAGCAUCUCAAGUAGCUAGAAUUACAAAUACAUACCAUACCUGGUGCUGUAUCCUCUCAACGUGAUUUCUCUAGCUCUUCUGAAGGUAUUUUUACACAUGGAUGGUCAAAUAAAUGUUUCUGUGAGGGAAGAAGUGCUGAAAACUCCUAUUCCUCUGUCUUGCUGAUGUCUUCCAAUCCCUGGAAUUCUAAUUCAGGGCCUCAGAAUGUAUAUUUUUAAUAAGAACACCAAGUGAUUCCGAGUCAUAAAGCCGAUGAAAUACAUUUAAAAAUAUACUGGCUUAUAUUAAAUUGUCACACAUGCAUAAUA